rnacentral:rRNA from 1 species
AGAGUUUGAUCCUGGCUCAGGAUGAACGCUAGCGGCAGGCUUAAUACAUGCAAGUCGAGGGGUAACAUGGUAGCAAUACUGAUGACGACCGGCAAACGGGUGCGGAACACGUACAGAACCUUCCUUUAAGUGGGGAAUAGCCCAGAGAAAUUUGGAUUAAUACCCCGUAACAUUAUGCGGUGGCAUCACCCUAUAAUUAUAGAUUUAUCGCUUAGAGAUGGCUGUGCGGCUGAUUAGGUAGUUGGUGUAGGUAACGGCUCACCAAGCCUGCGAUCAGUAACUGGUGUGAGAGCACGACCAGUCACACGGGCACUGAGACACGGGCCCGACUCCUACGGGAGGCAGCAGUAAGGAAUAUUGGUCAAUGGACGCAAGUCUGAACCAGCCAUGCCGCGUGAAGGAUGAAGGCCCUCUGGGUUGUAAACUUCUUUUAUCUGGGAAGAAAUGCAUGCUUUUUAGCGUGUUUGACGGUACCAGAGGAAUAAGCACCGGCUAACUCCGUGCCAGCAGCCGCGGUAAUACGGAGGGUGCAAGCGUUAUCCGGAUUCACUGGGUUUAAAGGGUGCGUAGGUGGGAAUGUAAGUCAGUGGUGAAAUCUCCGUGCUUAACAUGGAAACUGCCAUUGAUACUAUGUUUCUUGAAUUUUCUGGAGGUCAGCGGAAUAUGUCAUGUAGCGGUGAAAUGCUUAGAUAUGACAUAGAACACCAAUUGCGAAGGCAGCUGGCUACAGCGAUAUUGACACUGAGGCACGAAAGCGUGGGGAUCAAACAGGAUUAGAUACCCCGGUAGUCC